UACGUAGGGUGCGAGCGUUAAUCGGAUUUACUGGGCGUAAAGCGUGCGCAGGCGGCCCGUUAAGACAGGUGUGAAAUCCCUGGGCUCAACCUAGGAAUUGCGCUUGUGACUGGCGGGCUAGAGUACGGUAGAGGGGGGUGGAAUUCCUGGUGUAGCAGUGAAAUGCGUAGAGAUCAGGAGGAACACCGAUGGCGAAGGCAGCCCCCUGGGACUGUACUGACGCUGAUGCGCGAAAGCGUGGGGAGCAAACAGG
rnacentral:rRNA from 1 species